rnacentral:rRNA from 1 species
GUUCUACCUUGACGAAUUGUAGUUUAAAGAAGUGUUUUCUGUUGGAGUUUUGGUAAAAGUUCUUUGGAAUAGGACAUCAUAGAGGGUGAGAAUCCCGUAUUUGACCAUUAUUUCCAACUUUGUGAUACACUUUCAAAGAGUCGGAUUGUUUGGGAAUGCAGUCCAAAAUGGGUGGUAAAUUUCAUCUAAAGCUAAAUACUGGCGAGAGACCGAUAGCGAACAAGUACCGUGAGGGAAAGAUGAAAAGAACUUUGAAAAGAGAGUUAAACAGUACGUGAAAUUGUCAAAAGGGAAGCGUUUGACACCAGUGUUGUUUUCUCGAAAAUCAAUUAAAAAUGGCGGGAUUUUGUGUUGUAUUGACUUUAUCAGCUUUCUGCACUUUUUUCCUGUCUUUUUU